UUAACGUAGCGAAAGUUUGGCGCUAAUACCGCAUAUUUCUGUGAGCAGGAAAGCAGGGGGACCGCAAGGCCUUGCGCUCUUUGAGCGGCCGAUGUCAGAUUAGCUAGUUGGUGAGGUAAAGGCUUACCAAGGCGACGAUCUGUAGCGGGUCUGAGAGGAUGAUCCGCCACACUGGAACUGAGACACGGUCCAGACUCCUACGGGAGGCAGCAGGUGGGGAAUUUUGGACAAUGGGGCAACCCUGAUCCAGCCAUGCCGCGUGAGUGAAGAAGGCCUUCGGGUUGUAAAGCUCUUUCGGCCGGGAAGAAAUCGCAUGGGCCAAUACCCUGUGUGGAUGACGGUACCGGAAUAAGAAGCACCGGCUAACUACGUG
rnacentral:rRNA from 1 species